GCUGUCACCUUCACAGGGGUUGUGGGCGCCAUGCUGGCCCAAGCAAUCUCAAAUGGCAGCGUUUGACCUUCCGGGCUGCACAACAAAAGGAUUUUCAUUUCCCGGAGUCUGCGCUCACCCCUGCUUGUUCAGCUUAGUCACAUUGCCUGGUGACCUUCAGGCCAAGCACUGCUUGGAGGGCUGGGCACUGCCUUUACUUAGACAAUGGAGGCUCCCUGUGCCAGCUUUGCCUCUGUCCCACCCAGAACCUGUGGGAGUCUGAGGCUCAGUGGCAGGGAGAAUGAGUGUGCUGCAAUGAGCUGGUGCAUAGCACAGUGGGUGGUAGCUGUCUGUGGCCUGUCAAUUGGUCCUGUGUGCUGGUCACUCUGGCCCUGACCCCACAGGCCACAGCCCAGCAGCCUCACUUCGAGAUGAUGUCCCUGCCCACUCCUGCCUGGCUGGUGUUGCCCCUGAGGAGGGGUGCAACAGAGCUUCCGGCAGCUGUGCCCUACUGUCCUUACUGGUGCUUUCCUGGGAGUCUCCAAGAAAAUGACAGGACAGUGAGCAAAGUUGCACCACUGUGCUACUGGGCAGCAUGUGGGGCUGCAGGAAUGUUGCAAGGAAGGGUGCAGGCAGCGGAGGACCAGCGGCAAGCAGAUGGACAAGGUCUUUCCUUCAAGGAGCAGCAUGUGUGGAAAGGGAGAGAUGUAAGAAACACAAGACUGUGGGUGUGCACACUGAUGCACUCUUGGAGAGAAACCAGCUGGAAAGAAAGAGGAGUGCUAGGGUUGGAGAAAAGUCACCACGUUAAAUCAUCUGUGUAGGUGGAAACCCUAAGAACCCGAGCAACAAGAUGAAGCUGGACGCAUCAAGCAGGAACCCAAGGAUAGAACCCCAGGGGGAGCCCAUGGACACCUUAGGGAUAGAGCCUAGGGGAACCCAAAGGCUCCCCAAAGAGGAACUCAAAGAGGAGCCCAAGGGCCCUCAGGCAGCAGGACUCUGCAGGGUGAACAGGGCUCUGUGCCCAGGAAGUCCUGGCCUGGCUCUGGGGCAGCAGCCUGCAUGGAGGGUGAGGCAUUGCCCAAGGUAGGCUUUUCAGACCUUCCUUAUCUACCCAGGUGUGUUUGCUCAGAACACAGUAAGUAGUCUCAGAACCUCAUGGCACAGAUGUGAGUGCCUAAGAUGACUUUGCUGGUGUGUUAUUAUUGUUCUCACUUGACAAACUCAGUUCAUUGAGGAAAACAGCACCACCAAUGCUCACAUUCCUCAUCCCUAUCCACAGAUUCGAC
rnacentral:lncRNA from 1 species